rnacentral:misc_RNA from 1 species
CAAAGUCCCGGCCGAUACCGGCCGACCCUUUCACUGAAAGCGUUGACCUUGAGGGCCCUGCAAGGGUCCCGGGCAGCGUGGACGGUUAACCCUUUGUGAAAACCCCUUGUUGCUUCGGCAGCGCCUCCGACCCAUCGGGGGAUCAGCCUGCCGACGGCACCUCAGGAAACCCUUUAGUGAAAGGAAGCAUUGACAAAGUCUGAGAAUGCAAUCGAAUAAUACAUA